rnacentral:rRNA from 1 species
GAACGCUGGCGGCAUGCCUUACACAUGCAAGUCGAACGGCAGCACGGGAGCAAUCCUGGUGGCGAGUGGCGAACGGGUGAGUAAUAUAUCGGAACGUGCCCAGUCGUGGGGGAUAACGUAGCGAAAGCUACGCUAAUACCGCAUACGAUCUAUGGAUGAAAGCGGGGGAUCGCAAGACCUCGCGCGAUUGGAGCGGCCGAUAUCAGAUUAGGUAGUUGGUGAGGUAAAGGCUCACCAAGCCGACGAUCUGUAGCUGGUCUGAGAGGACGACCAGCCACACUGGGACUGAGACACGGCCCAGACUCCUACGGGAGGCAGCAGUGGGGGAAUUUUGGACAAUGGGCGCAAGCCUGAUCCAGCAAUGCCGCAUGCAGGAUGAAGGCCUUCGGGUUGUAAACUGCUUUUGUACGGAACGAAACGGUGAGCUCUAAUACAGUUUGCUAAUGACGGUACCGUAAGAAUAAGCACCGGCUAACUACGUG